UCAGCCUUGGCUUCAACCUGAGUCUCUAUAUCCUCUUGAGCAUCAUAUCACUUCCCCUUCCAGCUCUACCUUCUCUACACUGGAGAGUACAGGGUUCACGUGACUACUCAGUCAUCCUCUUGUGAGAAAUGGUGGGGACUACUCUACCUGCCCGGAUAUGUAAAUCCUCUAUGUCAUUUCCCCAUGCAAGAGAACUCUCUAUAGCUUCUCUAUCUGCCUGUUAGUCCGUCUAGAAGAAAUUUUGUCGUCUCUUCCUCUGGCCUCAUACACUAAAAAAAAAGAAAUGUGAACCACCGAAUUUUUGAAAAAUCCAAAAAUAAACAUGGUUUUACCGAAAUUUUUGAAAAUACGGCUACCAACAACCUCUCUUACCAGAUAUUUUGAAAUAUCUGGUAUGCACGUAUGCAUUUUUAUCGGG
rnacentral:lncRNA from 1 species